GUGAUAUGGAGCAAAACCCUAAAAGCGGUCUCAGUUCGGAUUGAAGGCUGAAAUUCGCCUUCAUGAAGCUGGAAUUGCUAGUAAUGGCAGGUCAGCAUACUGCCGUGAAUACGUUCCCGGGCCUUGUACACACCGCCCGUCACACCAUGAGAGUUGGAAAUACCCGAAGCCUGUGAGCUAACAGUAAUGAGGCAGCAGUCGAAGGUAGAGCCAAUGAUUGGGGUGAAGUCGUAACAAGGUACC
rnacentral:rRNA from 1 species